rnacentral:lncRNA from 1 species
UUUUGGGAAAUUGGUAUGGGUUAACAUGAAGAACUUGGGUAUUUACCUUAAUUAUUUGAUGAUGAAAACCUAAGUGAUAAAGCAGUAAUUAAACUCCAAUCGCCGUGUUGACAUGAAGCGGGGAUAGCUCAGUUGGGAGAGCGUCAGACUGAAGAUCUGAAGAUCAUUGUAUAACUCUACUGCCAGUAUCCAUCUGAAAGAUUGGAAUAUUUGGAUCUUUAAUUGGAGAUAAUAGGAAGCAUGGCUCACACUCUUGAAGGUAUUAAGGGUGGAGGAGGAUCCAUUAAGCUAGGGACAACUGGAACAAUCGGUACCUUAAUGACAAGGGAAUUGGACCAGAUUUCUUCUGCAGCAAACAAGCAGGUAUCUUCUAGAAGUAAACCUCGAACGCUUCCUGUUUCAGUUGCAUGUGGUACUACAACUCAGAAAAGACUACAACCAAGAAAAUCAUCAUCACACGAAGCUAGUAGCAGUGGAAGCAGUACUAACAAUACAAAACUUAAAAGUCCUGGAAUGUCCCAGAAAACAAAAACUAAUGGCAGAAAUAAUCAUAGAAUGCCCAUGCUAGGUUCCGAUAACUUUCCAGUGGAGAGAACUCCAUCCAGGCAGAAAAGUGAUAAAAAGAUACCUACCAUUGUUGAAGUCGUGGACAUAAAAUGUGGGAAUGCAGAUAAGGCUUGGGCUAACCCUUUGACAAAUCGUCUUAAGAAGCUCGGUUUCUCAAAGCUCUCUGAGAGCUUUAUCUAAAGCUGAAAUUUGUGUGUGUCAGACUUCAGAUUCUUGUAACUGAAAGCAGAAGUCCUAUUUGGCCUGCAGUUGUUGAUACAUCGACCAUUGAACACAUGCUUUGUAAGAGCUUGCUACUUCUUCUUUUCUUUGUACUUUCUAAUGUAGAUGCAAUUGUAGUAUCUCCAGAAGUUGUGCUAACGGAGGAUCCCAUGUCAGUCAUCUGGGACUUGUUUCUCUGUGACAUGCCUUGGGAAUUCAAUUCGAUCCCACUAAAGUACUGAAUUUCUUGCAUUAUGAGGGAUGCAACUGUGCCUCGGGUGCCUAUUUCUACUGGAGGAAAUUCAGCCAUCUCUUUUGUCUCAAUUGUGGCAAGGCUAGUGGACUUGUGCAUGUUAUAUUUGGUCGGUGUUGAGGCGACUAGAAAAUCUACUGAUUUAAGAAGAGUUGUUUGUGACUUUGUUCAAGUUGGGAAAUUCCAGAGACUCUGGGGCAUUUUCUUAGAUUUCAAGUGAUAUGCUUCACAUCAUAUUCAAAUAUCUGAUCAGCAUGACAUAUAAUAAGUCUGUGUUGUUAGGCGAUUGGUUGAUGACAUGAUCACUGCAUUAAUGCGCUUGUAGUUAUCAGCAUGUUCCUAGGUAUAUGCUAGGUCAUUAUCUGAGACUCAUCAUGCUAAGAUGGAAUGGAUCUGAAUAUGUGAUGGGAUUCAUGUGAAAGGUAAAAGUAGAAUGAUCCCUUUCAUAGAUUAUUUAAGUAAGAUGUUGUAUUCUUGUGUUUUAAUUGGAAAGGAAGAGUAGUAGGGAAACUAUCUCAAAAAAGUAACUAUUUAGUUGGCUGUUGUUCAGGUAUGAGGAAUUCUGGAUGAUAUUUGUUCAUUUUUUAUAAAUAGUAAAAAAACUGCAUCAUGGAU